rnacentral:rRNA from 1 species
CAGUCGCCGCGGUAAUACGUAGGGUGCGAGCGUUAAUCGGAAUUACUGGGCGUAAAGCGUGCGCAGGCGGUUUUGUAAGACAGAGGUGAAAUCCCCGGGCUCAACCUGGGAACUGCCUUUGUGACUGCAAGGCUAGAGUACGGCAGAGGGGGAUGGAAUUGCGCGUGUAGCAGUGAAAUGCGUAGAUAUGCGGAGGAACACCGAUGGCGAAGGCAAUCCCCUGGGCCUGUACUGACGCUCAUGCACGAAAGCGUGGGGAGCAAACAGGAUUAGAUACCCCUGUAGUCCCUGUCUCUUAUAC